rnacentral:lncRNA from 1 species
UUUUUUUUUAUAGCAGCAUCACAUGACUAGGUGCUACCUUUUGUUUCAGCUAUCUAGCACUGUGUAGCAAAUCACCCCCAAACUUAGUGGCUUAAGACAACCACCACUGUAUUAUUUUUCACGAUUUUGUUGGUUGAUUGUCUUAGCUGGGAGGUUGUUUUCUUCCAUGUGAUGUUAUCCGGGGCUGCAGAGGUUACAUUGGGCUGGAAUGUCCAACAUGGCUUAUUCACAGGACUAGCAGUUGGUGCAGGCUGUCAGCUGGAAGCUCAGCUGGAGCUGUCAGACAGAGGACCUGGAUUCUCCUUCAUACAGCCUCUCCAUGUGGUUUGUUUCUACAGCUUGGCAGCUCAGUUCCAAGAGGAAGAAAUAGAAGGUUUUAGUCUUAAGGCCUGGGCUGGGAGAUCCCAGAAUGUAUUUCUACUGCAUUCUAUUUAUCAGAGAAGUCCUACGGUGUUCUUAGACUCAAAAGAAGGAGAAAGAAACGCCACCUCUCAAUGGAAGAAAGACACAGGCACAUGAGGAGGGAAGACAGAAAUGGUAGCAUCUUUGGAUGCCUGACAACACUUCAAAUGGGGGGUGCUCUAUAUGCCUGGGUUCUGGAAUAAGGAGGACUCAGCAGAACCCCCAGCUGACUCAUGAUAGGUGAGUCAAGUCUACCAGGUGGAGAAGACAGCUGAGAGUACCUCAUGCAGAGAGAGCAUUGUGUAAAAAGGCACAAAGAAGUCUGAGGACACCAAGGUGGGAAUGUAACAUAGCUUGAGCGGAGUGAAGCUUCAAGAAUGAACCUGGAGGAGCAAGUUGGGACUCAUUCAUAAGGGCGGCUUGCUGGCUUUGAUGAACAAGCUGCCUUAUUGGAGAGGCCCAUGUGGUAAGGAACUGAGGGUGACCUCAGGCUAGCAGCCAACAAGAAAUGAGGCCCUCCGUCCAACAGCUGUCACGGGACUGAAUCUUGCCAACAAAUGGGUCUGGAUUAAAGACUCCUCUUCUGAGCUCCCACAGAAGCCUGUCCUUCGCUAACCAUAGCACACCUCACACUGCAAUGCCACCAUCUUUCCUCUAUUAAACAGAGUUACCUGACAGCAGGAGAACAAGCUUCUACAUCUUUGUAACCCUCCCAUGCCUGGCACAGAAGAGGCUUCCCAAUAAAAGACUGUGUUAAAAUGUGUCGCC